GACCUAACAGGUUUUUUAGUAAUGUGGUUCCUUGACUUCAAUGGGAAAUUUGCCAGACAAAAGACAACAUGGUGUUGCCCAUUGUUUUUAUUUUGUAAAUGUCUGCGUGGGAACCUGUCAUGGCUGGUUGGUAGACCCCCAGUUUUAUCUACCUUGCUCUUACAGCCAUUUGCAGUCUGUACAACGCUUCACAUGUGAAACUAUUUUAAAAAAUGUUUUAACCUUCUUUCCUGGCAUAGCAACUUCUGCCAGUAGCUUAUGAAUAACCCAACAUAACAAACCAGUGUAUGUAUUUGUGGGAAGAGGAUCAAUUCAAUGAGAAAACAGAUUUCAGUGUCACACGUCCAAAUCUUUGAUAGCAACAUGGAGCAGGCAAGUCAUUUUAAGAAUGAUUAAAAAUGCUUUAACAUCGUUAACUUUUUUUAUGAUGAUGACGAGUGAACAGAGCUCAAAGUUGGUAUAACUCAGCAAAAAGCGGCGUGGAAAUCGGAGGCAUUUGAUCAAGCAGAACAGGGUCUGGUCUCAUCUUAACUGCUUCUGAUCUCCUGAUGGUAAAUCUGGGGCAGAAGGUGAGUGAGGGGUGACUUUCUCUACCAGACGGUUAAAUCCCACAAUGCAAGAAGCGGUGCCCUCUGGUUGCUUGUUAUUUUCUGACAGUUGGGACGCAUCGCUGGAGACAAGGAGAGACGAAACACUUGCGCGCGCGUAUGUGUGUGUGAAGUUGUGUCUUGUCUCCGUUUUUGUUUUGCUCUUUUCUGGUCAUGAGACCCGGAAGUUUUUUUUUUUUUUUAAUCACAUGGCAGAGAGAUAUAAUAAAAACAGAAAAAUGGCGACAGUCACGUUGUGGCGAGUCUAUGCUGCGUCAUUAGAUAAUCUUCAUGCAAAGAUCGCAAAGAACAAAGAGAAGAGGGGAAAGGAGCCCCGGCCGCAAAGCGAUUGUAAAUAUAGCCUGGAUCUUGUUUACAUGAAGCAUCCAGCGGGAGGAGCCUGGGAGGAGGAGGAGGAGGAGGAGGAAGAUGGAGGAGUCUCCACGGCUCGCUGGGGUGAGCUUCCCAAACGGAGGAGGAGCCAAGACAGGGCUGGAGUCUCCCUCAAGCAGCCUGGAAGCUGCCUGGUACGUGGGCUUGUCCCUUGCAGAUUCGCUCUCCCUGGCCCCGACCACCGCCAGGCAGAGCUUCACAUCAGCAGCCCUUGGGAGCUGGGUACCAAGCUAUGGCUGCAGGACAGCGGUGCUGUCUCCCCUCCCAGACAAGCGACAAAAACUUGUUUGAUGGUGCUUUUGUUCCCACAGUGGCGGGCACUGGCACUCGCUGGCUGAGAUCAGCAAGGGAGAAUGGCAGAGGGGCUUUUCCUCAUCUCUGUGCUCCUGCUCACGCCCCUCACCCCCUUUGGAGCCACACCUCCAGUUCCCUCUAGCUUUCACUUACAUAGCAGAGUAUUUUCUUAUUUAUUUCAAAGAGAGGGCCUCAACGCAAGUUCAGCUGGACAAAGGGGACAGGUACAGGGCCAGAUCCUAGAUCACCAACUUGUUUCCUGACCUAGUAAGUUAUUCUUUAACAAAGCGUAGGGACAUUUUCUUUCCAUUGGCUAAUAAGUGACAAAGGCCAAGUCCAUGGCCCUGGUUCCUGCCAUGCCAGCCUCUGUGAUUGUUAGCAGAUGUUUUCAGUGCAGCAUGAGCUGAAAACAAAGAGCAUCCCUGCCUCCCCCCAUCACUAUAUUGAGCUCCCCUUACAUGGGAGAUGUUGGUCCAUCUUGAGCUGUGUUCUAAUAAUGGGUGUAUGUGUGUGUGAGUGAGGGGGUUUCCAAGAAAGCGAAUGCUGGGGGAUCCAGUCAGGUUGCUGGUGUUAAAUUUGUUUGAAUAUUUUCAUGUAUUUUUCAGGAAGGGGCCUCUAGGAGCUCUUGUUUCCAGAAAAGUGACUGAAUACUUGCCCACAGACCGUAGCUGAUGAAUGAUUAAUCAUGUUUUAGAGAUUUAUUUAUUUAAUUAUUCAUACAUUUGGUACACCAACAGCAGCAGUUAGAAUUCAUCUAUCAGACCGUUAACUCAACCACUAAUCAAUGUUUAAGAGGGGAAGGGAGUCAAAAAGACUAAAAGGUAAGUGUUGGUGGAAGGAAUCAAGCAGAACGUAGAUAAAGAAUGGAGAAGAUUUUAUAAACAGUUCCCAUGACGGAAGUUUCCUUGAUGGGAGAGUUUCAUAUUGUUGAAUGUACCUGUCUCCUACCUCACUUACAAGUGAAGAAGCAAAUCUUUAAAAACUAAUAAAGAAGAAUUUAAAGCUAUAGAAAAUAUUGCUUUAAUAACUGUCCUAGCACACUAGAGUCUUUCACUUCUAGGUGCUGUAAACUGCACUGUAGGGAGGAGCUCCUGCCAUAUUAAAAUUCCAGUAACUUUCUUAAGGAGUAAAGUCACUUACCCAGUAGCCAAAAGAUCAAUUAUAUCCGUAUAACUGCAGUUUUCUGCUCUUAAGAUCACACACAAAGUAAAAUAUUUGUAAUGAAGGUGGAUUUUUUCCCCACUUUUCCUAGCUUUGGAUAAGACAGAUCUCUUCCUAGUCAGUGUCAGAGUUGGCCUAUAAAAAUCAGAGCUCUAAUUCCAAGCUACAUGCUAGGAGAAAAGAAAGAAAAGUUGUAUUUGUAGGGGGAGGGUAAAUAGCCAAUUUAGUUUUUAGACUCUAAUAAAAAGGAGUGUUGUGUAAUUCAAAACACUCAAGAAACGUGGUAAGUUACCAACUCCGAAAAAAGAGAGUAGUGGAAACGGGUGUGUGGGGUGGGAGACAUGGAAAACAAGCAAAAAUAAAAACAAUGUGAAUAGAAUUUUUUUCAAACGCAAAAUCUGACAGCAAAAAACAGAACAUGGAUUUGAAAAUUUUAAAAUCAAGUUAAAGUAUUUGCAAUGCCUUAGAAAUAAGCUGAACAAAAAUACACACCGAAAAAUGCACUUGAGUAAAUUUAUGUAUUCCACAUUGAGAUCAGAGGGACUACUCCUGUAUGUUUUCAGGAUUCAGACCUAUGUUACCUGACCAUUGAGGAAAGCUUUCUUUUUAUUCUAGAAAAGAAGGUGAGUGUUAAAAGGUGAGAAGGCAGAGUAAAUAGAUCCCCUUAUCAUCAGCAAAAUGUAAAUACAUCUAAAGUGUCCAGCCUUUGUGAUGCUAAUAGAAUGCUCUAAUGACCUUUAUAUUGUUCACAUUUUUGAAAGCCAGGAAACACUUAUUUUUUAUAUAAAUCCUUAAUAAAUGUGUGCUCCUAGGUUACCUUACAGUUACUAUUUUCAGAAAAUGGCAGUUUAGUCGAAGGAUGCUGAUAAAUUUGCAGUUGAUGGCAAAUAUAUAUCCUAAUAUUUUUGUACAUAUUUGCCCAUUCAUAUUUGCAUCCUGGAACAAUAUUGUAUAACAUAUUGACUGGUCCCUUGUUUAUGAAACAUAUGUUUGUAAUUUGUUUUAAAAAUGCACAAAUAUUUUUUCCAGGAAGCUGUGUUUCACAUUUGUCUCUUUAUUGCCCUCUUGUGUUUAAAAAUAUGUAAGAGACCAUUUUGGUAGUACUUGGGCCCAGCUGAAUGUUAAGCAUUUCUGAAUUUUAAAAGCAUUUUAUUUAACUUAAGGAAAUACAUUGUCAGUUUAGUUGGUUAUUUAUUAUGUUAUCCAUAAAGUUCUUGCUCUACCCUAUUAGAAAUAUUUAAGUACCACUUACACCAAUUAAGUCCAUCAAAUUCUUAAAUGGAACAUUAUGUGAAAUGUAAAAUCUAUUUAUCACUUCCUUUCCAUUGUGAAACCUUAUGAAACAUUUAUUUUAAUAUGCUGAUCAUUACAGAACUGAUUCACUAGAUUAGAUGCCUUUAUUCAAAGAGAAAAACUACCAUGACUUUUUCAGCAGUACUUCAAACAUAAACCAGAGAAAAUAUUUUGAUAAACGUCUUUCAUUGUUUGCAAUGUAAUUCUUGAUUUCAGCAGUUUUCAUUUAGACCUCAGUGUAGGGCCCAAAUCAACCAUCGCACAGCCUAAACAAACAAGCCCAUCAGACAGCAACUCUUCCUUCAAACUCCAGGAUCCUUUCCACAUCCAGUGCUUGUUACUAUUUUGGAUUUGAUCCUGCUCCCACUGAAAUCAAUGGCAAAACUUCAAUGGGAGUAGGAUUGGGCCUCAAAGGAUCCCAGUGCUGCAGACGCACCUGUUGGAACUUUAGCACAUCUGUAAGCGUUUGCAGAAUGGAGGCAUGAGAUGGUACUGUGAAUCCCACAAGACAGAAACCUUGUCUUUUUUGUGUGUCAAGGCCCUAGCACUUUCAGUGUGGAACAUACUACUUUGAAACUUAAAAGAUAUUAUAGCCACAUAAUUAGCUAAACUAUUAGAUAAUGGGUCCAGAUCCUCCACCAGUGUAAAUUUGUGCAGCUUCAUUGUCUUAAGUGGAACUAUGCCAAUUGUAACCAGUUGAGGAUCUUGCCUAUGUAGUUUAUGUAUGGGAACAGCAGUCUACUUCAAAUGCUGAUUGAAACUGAAAAAAAAAAAUAUAAUAAUAAUAAUAAUGAGAGGGGAAAAUACCCUCAUUCCAUCAGUGAUUAUCUCCACAGAAUGAGUACAUUAUUUCCCCCCUGUUAAAUACAGGAUCAUAGAUUUGGAUUUUUAAGACUGUUAUUGGUAAAAGAUUGUACGGCUCUGAAAAAUACUUUAAAGCCGCAUUGAAUUUAACUGCACUGAUACCAGUUAGCCAGGUAAUUUUCAAAAAGAGUGGAUAAAUUAAUUGAAGUUUCAGAACACUUUGUUCAUUUCCACAUGUAUUUAUUAAACAUGCAUUAAAUCCAUCAUCCGUGUCCUCGGAGAGCUGAACAUCAGUAUUUGAUGUGAUCUUUAUUUUUGAAACAUGCACAAGAGGAAACACUAUGUAAGCACACAAUAAAUCAAGCACUAUUCUCUAUAUGAUACUAACAGACAUAAUGACUGACAGGCUGCCCUGGCUCAGUUAUCACAGUGCUGAUGCUGUCUAUUCUAAAGGUACAGUACUGUGAUAACUGAAGGAUGGCAGCCAUCUUAGCUUCACAAGAACCCAACGAGCAGAAAUCAGAGAAGAUGUCCUUAUUUUCUGGAUACCGGACAUGCUUUGUUUAUGAAAGUGACCAGGUGCUCGAGCAGAAAGAUGCUUGUUGUAAGGGUACAUCUUAACUCACUUGAAGAAAAGAAUAAAUGGCUUAAAAAAAGACCUUUAGUUCUACUGGAAUAAAAAAAAAAAAAUCACUUUA